rnacentral:tRNA from 1 species
GGGGAUGUGGCUCAAGUGGUAGAGCGCUUACCUGGCAUGAGCGGGGCACUGGGUUCAAUCCGCAGCACCACA